GUGUGAUGGAUUAACACGACAGAUCGGAUAUCUGUAAGUGCGGGUUCGAGUCCCGC
rnacentral:tRNA from 1 species